UAUGUAAGGGUUAUUGCCAAGUUUAAAAUGAAGAAACUGAGGCCAGCAUAAGAAAAUUAAAUGCCAAUUUACCUGGCUCCCAGGCGAGGUUCCAUGAUCCCCAGGAAAGGGGCCAGGGAAGUUGCGCCUGACUUGUCUCAGG